CCCCCGUGUAAAUGCAGUAAAGACAUGAAGCCAGGUGGGAAAGUGUAUUUGUCAUCUUGAGUGAUGGGCAUGGUAGACAAGAUAAAGAGGCUUUAUUGAACUCACUGAAAUCCAAUGUUAAGAAACUUAAAAUUUUAUGUAUUAUAAUAGUUGUCAUAGAACAUAAAGUAUUUUUCAAAUUAAUCAAGCUAUGUUGUGUUUUUCAGCUUUUAUCUGACUAGUAUCUAUGACCAUUCAAUAUUUGAAGCCUUUAGUAAGGUGGUGCAGAAACUCAUUCCACAACUGCCGACCUUGGAAAACCUAUUAAAUAUCUUUAUAUCAAAUUCAGGUAUUGAAAAAGCUUUUCUCUUUGAUGUUGUCAGCAAAAUCUACAUUGCAACAGACAGUUCCCCUGUGGAUAUGCAAUCUUAUGAACUUUGCUGUGACAUGAUCGAUGUUGUAAUUGAUGUGUCUUGUAUAUAUGGGUAAGUUAUGUAUAUAUUCCUGCAAUAUCUCAGACAGGCAGAAAACUAUUAACUUGAUUUGUCCAGAAGACUAAUUUCUGAGGCCUCUGGCAAGUAGUACUAC
rnacentral:sRNA from 1 species